UAGCCAUGAUGUGGGAAGGUAAGCAAAAUCUUCUUGAAUCUCUCCCAACACUGAAAAAAUGUUUCAUCCUAUUUUUGAAAGAAGUUCAUGAUAUUUCACCUCAGAGUGU